CACUACCAGAAGCAGCAGCUCCCCUCACGCUUCCUCCUGUGUACCUCACCUUGCUCAGAGAGUCCUUGGGCUUUGGGGACAAGAAUGUCUGAAUGACGAAGAAUGUGUCACAGGAAAAUGAUAUUCAGUGAGUCUCCAGGCAAUGAUCCCAGCUGGCAGCACCACAGGUUCAACUUGGUAAACAUGCUGAGGGCUUGGGAAAGUGCUACAGGGAAAGGUGUUGACUUAGAGUCUCGUGCAUGUCGGUCAAAUACUCAACCAUUGAGUUGCAUCCUCAACCCAGCAUUUACAUCUUCAAACUUCCCAUGACUUCUGGAUGAAGAGAAAUUGGAGGUGGGCCUGAUCCCUGAGCUUCAAGGAUUUGGGAUUGAUCAUUCCUCCCACUGAUAAAGGGACAGUGCUGUGCUGAGUGGCUUUGGCCCCUGACCUAAGAAAUACUCUGAUGCAUCAGAAUUCCCUGGGAUGACAACUGCAGUUUGUCUACAAGGAGGAUAAACCAAGCAAGCCGGCGUCGCCUCAUAAAGAAAUAUGAGUCGGG